CCAUAAGGGAGAAAACACUAGUUAAUAUCUCAGCUUUGUAAAAGUUUUCAUUUUGCAAAGCUGAGAUAUUGAUGAGUUUGAAUCUGUUUUAAA
rnacentral:miRNA from 14 species